rnacentral:lncRNA from 1 species
CUUUUUAAGAAUCCCCAAGCUUGUCUCGACAAAAUACUACACUAUUACACUUUUUCCUUGUGAUAUGAAUCACUGCAAGUCUGCAAUGACAAGAUACCAUUGAAAUGUACAGUUGAGGAUAUUCUUGUAAAAGCAGAGAAAAGUUGGCUGCCUACAGUUUUCUAAUGGAAAGGGAGGUGCUAACUUUCCUAUUCCAUCUUUGGUUCUUUCUUGGCUUUCCGUGAUUCCCCACAUCAUCUCUGCUUUCCUGCUUACCUGCUUCUCAAAAUGCACUGGAGAAGAUACAAGGUCCCUCCCCUUUGACCUUCAAGGAAAGAGGAUGGACAGAAAGACACAUUGGGAAACAGCCUUUCUCUUGAAACAACCAAGAACAACAACGGUGUCAGUACGGAUUUGUGUGCAGAGGAAAGCAGCUUGGCGUUGGGCUGGGAUUGAGCGAUUGGCCUCGACGCCUGGUUAUGAUGGGCGGAGAAGUGCCACACCUAACUGGGCAAAAGCCCCUCACAACCACCCCCAGAUCGUCAAUGUGUUCGCCUGGAAGGCCUGGAUGCAUCUGGAGUAGCAGCCGCCCCUCCCCCCUAAAUGCAAGACAUAGGUCAGUUAUAGCCUUUCUGUACUAUAGAGAGGGACUGAGUGGCUGCUGGGGGACUAGAGCUAUUUCCACAGCUCUAAAAAGCUGCUAACCACAGCAAUGCUGAGGAGGCAUGCAUCACUUUAACACAUUGCUGUCCCCAUGCAGAGAAAAUGAUACAGCAGAGCAUCACAGUAGAAGCAGAAGCC